CGCAUCUCCCACAACAACUUCCAGCGAAGACGAACCAUGCCAGCAAUUUUUGGCCCCAGCUAUAGGAACACAGGGGACCCACACAGAUCGUGGAGCCCAGCUGCACACGGGGCCACCCCAAAAGCAGACCCUGUGUCUGACAGCGUUGCCCAAACCCUUCUUAAUCCCUGUGGGUCCCUUCCAGCUCGGACACUUCACUAUUUCUAAACCCCGCGGCGAUUUCCGAGCAAGGGGAAAGAAAACAAAUCUCUGCUUUUCCCCUCCCCGGAGGAAAAUCCAGGAAACGGAGCAGUUCCUGAACCAGCUGCAGCGGCCGGGAACCAUUUGGGGCCGGUUCCCUUUGGGGUUGCUCAUUCCCUGAAUAUGAGAAUAAAAAGGAGAAUAAAAGAGAAUGACUGUCCUGACCCGUGUCCAAAAAUGAUGACGGCAGCUGGAGAGCAAGGAGGGAUGACAGGGCACGGCGGGGUGCCAGCGGUCACGAUCCCUAUUGCAAACAAGGAGUGUGCUUGCUGGGUGAACUAGCAGCUCCUCUCACCAUGAUAACCAAAACAGGGCCGGGGAACUCUGCUUUCUCAUGUUGUCUUCCCACCAGAGCUUUUCCAGGGCACUACAGGUAGCACGUUGAGCAAGCUGACCUUGUGACAAGAAGCAUUACGCUGCAUGUUUUGGUUCUGCCUUCUUUUCUGACACUGGAUUUUCUACAAAUCUUCAACAGAUAAAUUCCCUCAGCAUAAGAGCAGCGGAACAAAAAGGAUUUAAACCCAAAGUUAAUGUAUAUAUCAUGUCAGAUCUGCUCUCUGCAGAGCCAUCGGGAAAACCUCAAUCUGUCCCACUGCGAACUGCGGGGCUGGUGUCACCCUUCGGUGAGCAGGUUUAUUUAUUAAUCUGCCUGUCUAGCAUUAACUCGUGUGCAGCAAGGAAAUGUGUGCAUUGCUCAAAUCGGAGCCUGCCUCUACCACGCAACGGGACCGCUAGCCUGGCCUUCAAUUCCUUUUCCCUGAUGUAGUCUUCACCUGGGUUUGCUACAGUUCUGGCACCAAACCUGCAAAAAUAAAAAUUAAAAAAAUACA